CCUACGGGAGGCUGCAGUAGGGAAUAUUGCUCAAUGGGGGAAACCCUGAAGCAGCAACGCCGCGUGGAGGAUGAAGGUUUUCGGAUUGUAAACUCCUUUUGUUAGAGAAGUUAAUGACGGUAUCUAACGAAUAAGCACCGGCUAACUCCGUGCCAGCUGCCGCGGUAAGACGGAGGGUGCAAGCGUUACUCGGAAGCCCUGGGCGUAAAGAGCGCGUAGGCGGGAUAGCAAGUCAGAUGUGAAAUCCUAUGGCGUAACCAUAGAACUGCAUUUGAAACUGUUAUUCUAGAGUAUGGGAGAGGUAGGUGGAAGUCUUGGUGUAGUGGUAAAAUCCGUAGAGAUCAAGAGGAAUACUCAUUGCGAAGGCGACCUGCUAGAACAUAACUGACGCUGAUGCGCGAAAGCGUGGGGAGCAAACAGGAUUAGAUACCCCUGUAGUC
rnacentral:rRNA from 1 species